CCUACGAGUGGCAGCAGUGGGGAAUAUUGGGCAAUGGAGGCAACUCUGACCCAGCAACGCCGCGUGAAUGAUGAAGGUCUUCGGAUUGUAAAGUUCUGUGAUGGGGGAUGAACACAAUGACGGUACCCCAAUAGCAAGCCACGGCUAACUACGUGCCAGCAGCCGCCGUAAUACGGAGGUGGCAAGCGUUAUCCGGAAUGACUGGGCGUAAAGGGUGCGUAGGUGGUGUAGUAAGUUGGCGGUGUAAUUCCGGGGCUCAACCUCGGCGCUACCGCCAAAACUAUUAGACUAGAGUGCAGGAGGGGUAAGUGGAAUUCCUAGUGUAGCGGUGGAAUGCGUAGAUAUUAGGAGGAACAUCAGGGGCGAAGGCGACUUACUGGACUGUAACUGACACUGAGGCACGAAAGCGUGGGGAGCAAACAGGAUUAGAUACCCCAGUAGUC
rnacentral:rRNA from 1 species